GAAGAUCAGCAAACGGAACCCCUUUGAAGACGUCCAUGUGGUGCCGGAAGCCAAGACGGAUGUUCUCGCCUUCCACCAUGCCGCCCUCCGUGUACACCACCCCCAGCUGAAGAUGCAAAUGACCAUCAGACAUUUGGAGGCGGCAGACACCGUCUCCAGAAUGACGGCAACGGUGAGCAAGAUGGCCAGCUUCUCCAUCAUGACCAGAAUGAGUUCUUCGAUGACUUGGUCGCUGGACUUUUAUAAAGCGGACACACCCCCGGAGCCACCUAUGAAAAUACAAACUACACUUCAUGAUCCCGGCAAGAAGUUAAUUUGGCAGCAGUCUUUCUGAUUCAAGUCUGGACAUGGGAGAACUGACACGGGUACGGCCGGGUGUCCGAGUGGAUGAGAAGGUGCGUGGACAGCGUGGAGGAGCGCUUGAAGGACUUGCCGCACAUCUUGCACUCAAAACUUUUUUCCUGGACAAACACGGAAUGUGUCACGUGGUCAGUGCAAGAAGAACUUCAAUCAAUUUCAGAUUUUUGAGAUUGAGGAUUAUUAUUUCAUUUUAUUUUAUUGAAACAUUUGAUUAUUUUAUUAAACAUUUAUUGAAAAACACAAAAUAACAUAUUUUGCCUUCUAUCAUAGCGACCAUCUUGAAUCAUAGACCCUAUUUCAGAAAUCGUACCUGGGAGUGAACAUUCAUGUGUUGCUCGAGACUGACUGCGUGGCCAAAGGUUUUUCUGCAGAUGCUGCAGCCAAAAGGUCUCGUUCCGCUGUGGGACCUCCUGACGUGAACUUCCAGGCCGUGAGGUGUUGAGAACACCUGAAGCACAGACAACAAAAUUGCAAAUCGUGAUCCUGAACUUACUGGCAUAACCUGUUUUCACUUUCAAAUGUUGAAUUAUAA